AUCAUACAUCACACAAUACCCAUAAAUUACAAUAAAAUUUCGUAACAUAAAAAAGUUCAAUACAAAGUAUUGUUCACCAUUAUGAAACAAACACCAUAACGCAAAUGUAAAUGCCAUAAUCAAAAAUUAAUUUCCUACUGAAAUAAUUGACCCCUAAUAAAUUAGGGGUGAUAAAAUAUCUUCAAUUCUUCUGGAUGUGAACUCAUUGCCCCUUUGAGAUUGCGUCUUCAUGCUUGUUGCUGAGAGAAGUGAAAAUUUGCU
rnacentral:lncRNA from 1 species